AUUGAUUCAGAAUCUCCAGAUGUGUUUUAAGCUUGGAAAAUCUAAGAGGUCAGGCGAGGCGGGAUGUGGACAAGACUUUCUGCUACCAAAAUGAGGGGAUAUUAAACAAUGCACUCUCAAUCAGAGUGGAAUCGGAGUGAAGGGGAGAAUGAAUGCUGGCAAUAACUCACUCCGACCAAGCUGCCUGAGGAAGAGUGCUAAGAGCACCAACAAUCAAGAAUCCAGGAGAGGAAAAAGAAGCAAUGCCUCCAAAUAGGCAGUAUAAUUUGGGGUCAGAUAUGAAGCAGAUGAAGUCAGUAAAGAAAAGACAAAUGGAGCGACAGCUAUCCCAGUAUCCCUGCUUCAUAAGGCCCAUUGUUCCAGUCUGUUACUGUGCAGCUGUGUUUGGCUGGUUUCUUUUUGACCCUCACCUUAAUAACAGGCCUUUCCUUCACUUUCCACAUGCCCCAGGAUGUCUCUGACACACCUAGGGAGCGCCGCAAACUCCAAUGUUGCUGGGCAGCCCUGUUUUCCUCUUUCUGAGUCCAGAAGUGGUGCAGCCUGGGCUUUUACCUUGACCUUUGACCUCCCAUGUCAUGAAGUUAACACGGUUCCUGCCUCCAGCUAAUGGUUUCCAACACUGCAGAAUUGAGUCUAUUUUAUCAAUUACAUGAACUUCAGUCUUUGGCAUAAAGGUCAUUAUUGUAUUUUGUACCUGGAAUUGUAUUGUAAUGAGGCAAAUCACAUUCUCUUACAGUCAAUGAGGGGGAAAAAAGCACACAAAAUGGAAAUUACUCCUAAAAUGACCUUGCUAGAUUUCUAUAUCUGGCUAACAGACUCUGUUUCUAUACAUCAAAAAACUGACAUGGCAGCUUUGUCAUAUAACCAGG